rnacentral:lncRNA from 1 species
GUUUUGGGGAAGACUGAGGCAAUCGCUGCUGAAGUCAGUGUUGUAAUGGUGAAUCGGGAUUUUUAAAUGAAGUGGGUUUGAAUACUCUUGACUGUUUUGUAAAAUCGAGUUACGUUUGUGAUUGAAGGAUUAAAAGGGUGUCUAUAGGAUUGAGUAUGCGGAGUGAAUGAAAUUUAUUGGGUUAAUCUAACAAGACAGUCAGUGGAUACAAGAUCGUAAGUACAAAGGAGUAUUGAAGGUUAACAGUUUGGAUUGUACGGGGUUCUCUGUAACGUCUAGA